rnacentral:rRNA from 1 species
UUGGAGGGCAAGUCUGGUGCCAGCAGCCGCGGUAAUUCCAGCUCCAAUAGCGUAUAUUAAAGUUGUUGCAGUUAAAAAGCUCGUAGUUGAAUUUCGGGAUCAGAUUGUCGGUCGUGCCUCAGUACGCACUGGCAUUAUUGGUUCCUACCUUCUGAAGAACCGCGAUGUCAUUAAUUUGGUGUCGUGGGGAAUCAGGACUGUUACUUUGAAAAAAUUAGAGUGUUUAAAGCAGGC